GCCAGACGCCAUAACACCUGCAGUUCAGGCAAGGUAAUCCAUCUGAAGUUAAGCAGGUUUGGGCCAGGCUGGUAUUUGGAAGGGAAACCAACUGGGAAAACUGGGUUGCUGCUGGAA
rnacentral:rRNA from 1 species